rnacentral:rRNA from 1 species
UACGUAGGGGGCAAGCGUUGUCCGGAAUCAUUGGGCGUAAAGAGCGUGUAGGCGGUCCGGUAAGUCGGCUGUGAAAGUCCAAGGCUCAACCUUGGGAUGCCGGUCGAUACUGCCGGACUAGAGUUCGGAAGAGGCGAGUGGAAUUCCCGGUGUAGCGGUGAAAUGCGCAGAUAUCGGGAGGAACACCUAUGGCGAAGGCAGCUCGCUGGGACGGUACUGACGCUGAGGAGCGAAAGCAUGGGGAGCGAACAGG